rnacentral:rRNA from 1 species
AGAGUUUGAUCAUGGCUCAGGGUGAACGCUGGCGGUGCGCCUAAUACAUGCAAGUCGAACGAGAAACUGGAUUUAUUCAGUGGAAAGUGGCGGACGAGUGAGUAACACGUAAGAACCUACCCUGUACUCAGGGAUAACUGCCCGAAAGGGUGGCUAAUACCGGAUGGUCCCGAAAGGGUAAAGAUUUAUCGGUACGGGAGGGGCUUGCGGCUUAUCAGCUAGUUGGUGGGGUAAAAGCCCACCAAGGCUAUGACGAGUAGCUGGUGUGAGAGCAUGACCAGCCACGAUGGGACUGAGACACGGCCCAUACUCCUACGGGAGGCAGCAGUAAGGAAUCUUCCGCAAUGGACGAAAGUCUGACGGAGCGACACCGCGUGAAGGAUGACGGCCCUCGGGUUGUAAACUUCUUUUCUGGGGGAAGAAAUUCUGACGGUACCCCAGGAAUAAGGACCGGCUAAUUACGUGCCAGCAGCCGCGGUAAUACGUAAGGUCCGAGCGUUACCCGGAAUCAUUGGGCGUAAAGCGUCCGCAGGUGGUUCCAAAAGUCUGUUAUUAAA